GACGAACGCUGGCGGCGUGCCUAAUACAUGCAAGUAGAACGCUGAAGAGAGGAGCUUGCUCUUCUUGGAUGAGUUGCGAACGGGUGAGUAACGCGUAGGUAACCUGCCUUGUAGCGGGGGAUAACUAUUGGAAACGAUAGCUAAUACCGCAUAACAAUGGAUGACACAUGUCAUUUAUUUGAAAGGGGCAAUUGUUCCACUACAAGAUGGACCUGCGUUGUAUUAGCUAGUAGGUGAGGUAAUGGCUCACCUAGGCGACGAUACAUAGCCGACCUGAGAGGGUGAUCGGCCACACUGGGACUGAGACACGGCCCAGACUCCUACGGGAUGCAGCAGUAGGGAAUCUUCGGCAAUGGGGGCAACCCUGACCGAGCAACGCCGCGUGAGUGAAGAAGGUUUUCGGAUCGUAAAGCUCUGUUGUAAGUCAAGAACGGGUGUGAGAGUGGAAAGUUCACACUGUGACGGUAGCUUACCAGAAAGGGACGGCUAACUACGUG
rnacentral:rRNA from 1 species